AAUAGAUACCCGGGUAGUCCCAGCCGUAAACGAUGCUCGCUAGGUGUCAGGCAUGGCGCGACCGUGUCUGGUGCCGCAGGGAAGCCGUGAAGCGAGCCACCUGGGAAGUACGGCCGCAAGGCUGAAACUUAAAGGAAUUGGCGGGGGGAGCACAACAACGGGUGGAGCCUGCGGUUUAAUUGGACUCAACGCCGGACAACUCACCGGGGACGACAGCAAUAUGUAGGCCAGGCUAAAGACCUUGCCUGAAUCGCUGAGAGGAGGUGCAUGGCCGUCGCCAGUUCGUACUGUGAAGCAUCCUGUUAAGUCAGGCAACGAGCGAGACCCGUGCCCACUGUUACCAGCAUGUCCUCCGGGACGAUGGGUACUCUGUGGGGACCGCCGAUGUUAAAUCGGAGGAAGGUGCGGGCUACGGUAGGUCAGUAUGCCCCGAAUUUCCCGGGCUACACGCGGGCUACAAUGAAUGGGACAAUGGGUCCCUACCCCGAGAGGGGUUGGUAAUCUCCCAAACCCAUCCGUAGUUCGGAUCGAGGGCUGUAACUCGCCCU
rnacentral:rRNA from 1 species